rnacentral:rRNA from 1 species
GAUGAACCACUUCGGUGGGGAUUAGUGGCGAACGGGUGAGUAACACGUGGGCAAUCUGCCCUUCACUCUGGGACAAGCCCUGGAAACGGGGUCUAAUACCGGAUACAACACUCUCGGGCAUCCGAUGAGUGUGGAAAGCUCCGGCGGUGAAGGAUGAGCCCGCGGCCUAUCAGCUUGUUGGUGAGGUAACGGCUCACCAAGGCGACGACGGGUAGCCGGCCUGAGAGGGCGACCGGCCACACUGGGACUGAGACACGGCCCAGACUCCUACGGGAGGCAGCAGUGGGGAAUAUUGCACAAUGGGCGAAAGCCUGAUGCAGCGACGCCGCGUGAGGGAUGACGGCCUUCGGGUUGUAAACCUCUUUCAGCAGGGAAGAAGCGAAAGUGACGGUACCUGCAGAAGAAGCGCCGGCUAACUAC